AGCGAACGCUGGCGGCGUACUUAACACAUGCAAGUCGAACGAGGGUCGCUACGUGAGCAAUCAUGUGGUGGUUCUAGUGGCGUACGGGUGAGUAACACGUGGGUAACCUGCCCUGGAGACCGGGAUACCCUCCCGAAAGGGAGGCUAAUACCGGAUACGUUCCCCAGACCGCGAGAUCAGGGGAGGAAAGGUGGCGCAAGCUACCGCUCUUGGAGGGGCUCGCGACCUAUCAGCUAGUUGGGAGGUGACGGCUCACC
rnacentral:rRNA from 1 species